UGGGGGAUAUUGCACAAUGGGGGAAGCCCUGAUGCAGCGACGCCGCGUGAGCGAAGAAGAUCUUCGGAUUGUAAAGCUCUGUCUUAGGGGACGAUAAUGACGGUACCCUGAGAGGAAGCCACGGCUAACUACGUGCCAGCAGCCGCGGUAAUACGUAGGUGGCAAGCGUUGUCCGGAAUUACUGGGUGUAAAGGGAGCGCAGGCGGGUGUGCAAGUUGGAAGUGAAACUCAUGGGCUCAACCCAUGACCUGCUUUCAAAACUGUGCAUCUUGAGUGGUGUAGAGGUAGGGCGGAAAUUCCCGGUGUAGCGGUGGAAAUGCGUAGAUAUCGGGAGGAACACCAGUGGCGAAGGCGGCCUACUGGGCACUAACUGACGCUGAGGCUCGAAAGCAUGGGUAGCAAACAGGAUUAGAUACC
rnacentral:rRNA from 1 species